AUGGCCUGGGCCACGCUCCUCCUCGCACUGCUCACCUAUUUCUCUGGUUCCCUUGCCCAGUACGUGGUGACGCAGCCGCCUUCAGUGUCUGUGUCUCCAGGACAAACUGCUCGGCUCACCUGCUCCGGGAACAACAUUGGUGGCAAGAAUGUGCAGUGGUACCAGCAGAAACCUGGCAGUGCCCCUCUACUCAUUAUAUAUAAUGAUAGCAAGAGACCCUCCGGCAUCCCUGACCGAUUCUCUGGUGCCAACUCUGGCAACACGGCCACAUUGACCGUCACUGGAGUCCAAGCCCAGGACGAGGCUGAAUAUUACUGCCAGGCGUGGGACAGCAGCAUUGCUCUGCCGCACAGUGACACAGGGCAGUGUGGAAGUGAGACACAAACAUCCUCUCGUCACAGGAACUGUCACCAUCCCCUGCACUGUGAUGCUGCCGACAAGUGGGUUUCAUAG